CCCUUAGAUGUCCUAGGCCGCACGCGCGUUACACUGAUGCAUUCAACGAGCUUAUAACCUUGGCCGAGAGGCCUGGGCAAUCUUGUUAACGUGCAUCGUGAUAGGGAUAGAUUAUUGAAAUUAUUAAUCUUGAACGAGGAAUUCCUAGUAAACGCAGAUCAUCAAUCUGCAUUGAUUACGUCCCUGCCCUUUGUACACACCGCCCGUCGCACCUACCGAUUGGAUGGUCCGGUGAAGCCUCGGGAUUGUGGUUCUUGCCGCUUUAUUGUGGCGUGACCGCGAGAACUUGUCUAAACCUUAUCAUCUAGAGGAAGGUGAAGUCGUAACA
rnacentral:rRNA from 1 species